rnacentral:misc_RNA from 1 species
AAAACCUCCAGCAUCAAACCAAAUGAAGGCAUUUUCUCCCCCUUUCUAAGUUUGAGUCUAUGCUCUUACAGGUCGAAUUGGCAUAAAAUGAAAGCAUUCAGGACACUUCGAACUCUAAACAUCUUUGCAUCAAAACCCCAAAAUUCAAAUUCCCAUCUCUUCAAUCGAAUUCUUCUCUCUCAUUUCUUCUCAGCUCAACCUGAGCAAAACCAAAGUGAAAACGACAAUAAUGACUCGUUUUUUGACAGCAGCCGCUACGCCGUCACCAACAUUGAUACUAAUACAACCGCUCUAGAACCCACUUGGGAUGAGAAAUACAGACAGAGAGCUGAUAGAUUAGUGUUUGGGCAUGAAACCCAGAAGUCCAAAGUCAAAUUAUUGCAAGAACAAGAGGAGGAGGAGAAGAGGAGAGUGUUGGCGAAAGCGCUGCUCCAGGCGGCGCUGGAGAGGCCAGAUGAAGAGGACGAUGAUGAGGUGGUGAGGGAGGUGGACCAGAAAUCGCUUUCAGUUGGAAUUGUUGGUGCCCCUAAUGCUGGGAAGUCCGCCUUGACUAAUCACAUGGUUGGGACAAAGGUUUCUGCUGUGUCUCGGAAGACGAAUACAACAAUUCAUGAAGUAUUAGGAGUGAUGACAAAAGGGGACACUCAAAUUUGUUUCUUUGAUACACCUGGAAUUAUGUUAAAGAAAAAUGGAUAUCCUUACAAGGAUAUGAAGGCUCGUGUGGAAAAUGCUUGGUGUGCAGUUGAUUUAUAUGAUAUGAUCAUGGUUGUUUUUGAUGUCCAUAGGCAUCUUACCAGGCCUGAUUCAAGAGUGGUGAGACUAAUUGAACGUGUUGGAGCACAAACAAACCCAAAACAAAAGCGGGUUUUAUGUAUGAACAAGAUUGACCUAGUCGAGAAAAAGAAAGACUUACUAAAGGUUUCUGAGCAAUUCAAAGAUCUUCCUGGAUAUGAUAGGUGCUUCAUGAUCUCCGGACUAAAGGGUGCUGGUGUGAAAGAUCUUACACAAUAUUUGAUGGAGCAGGCAGUGAAAAGACCUUGGGAUGAGGAUCCACUACAUAUGAGCGAAGAAGUUAUGAAGAACAUUUCAUUAGAGGUUGUUCGCGAGAGGUUAUUAGAUCACGUCCACCAGGAAAUCCCAUAUGGUAUUGAACAUCGUUUGAUAGAUUGGAAGGAGUUAAAAGAUGGUUCUCUAAGGAUUGAACAACACUUCAUUACUCACAAACUAAGCCAACGGAAGAUUCUUGUGGGUAAGAAGGGCUCAAAAAUAGGAAGGAUAGGCAUUGAAGCUAAUGAAGAGCUGAGGUCCAUAUACAAGAGGGAAGUGCACCUGAUCCUCCAGGUUAGACUGAAAUGAUCAGUUCAGCAACCAGAGAAAUAUGCCUGAUCCCAGAAUUGGAUUAGCCAUGGAGGAUGAUUAAUGAAAGCACCAGGACCAAAUUUAGCAUACUGUGCUUCGCCAAGAAUUGGCCUGUCCUGGUAAAAAUGAGGCAUGAAGUCUUUUGAACUUGUCCCACUCUUUAGAUGUGGGACUCUUGACCAGAAGCAAGUAUCCUUGUUCGUGUAUUGGCUUCAUUUUUGCCUGCUUGAUGAAAGCAAAGGAAACCAAAAGCAAUCAGCUUCUAGAUUGAGUUUUUGUGCUUUUGAUUUGAAAUCUGAAUUUUGCUUAAUUUUCUUAGCAACCAGAGUUUAAAUGUUGUAUGGGAAAUAAUUGUUGCUAUAGAUUUGUGAAUAUUUGGUUGGUAUAUAAUGGAAAGAAAGGAAUUGAAUUCUG